GGAGGGUAUAGCUCAGUGGUAGAGCGCAUGCUUAACAUGCAUGAGGUCCUGAGUUCAAUCCCCAGUACCUCCA
rnacentral:tRNA from 1 species